CAGAUAAAGUUACACUAUCGCCAUCUUUAAGAGUCACAAAUCGUAAUACUUUUAAUUCACAUAUUUUAGAAUCACAUAGUAGUAAGUUAUUCUUAAAAACUGUUUUAUGUAUAUGUCAAGCACAUUAUACUACUAUAUUUAUAUUAAAUAGUUUAUAGUAUUAGUGUAUCAAUAUGUAAAAUUAUAAUCACCAGGUGGCAGGUGCCGGGAAGUAAGAUUUAUGAAGAUAACUUACAUAUUUCAUACACCAUCAUCGCCUUUCAAAGUCAUAAACUAUAAUUUUUCUCGGCGCUUAUUGAAGAAUUUCAGGAUAGCGCAUCAUAAAGAGAAAAUAUCAAAAUGAAAACAACCGCAAGUCUAAAGAAACCACUACGUUUAAGAGAUCAAUUCAAAAUGAAUAUAAUGUAACUAAACGUUGCAAUACAUCAGAAGCAGUGACACAAAUGAACACGCAUAACGAAUCUACAAAAUGAAUGUAAAAAUUGCAGCACCUAUAAAAACGUAUAUUUUAUUAGGCGCGCCAUCUCACUUUUUUAAAAAGUCAAAAUUAAAUUAAGAUAAAAUUUAAUACAGUGAUAAUUAUCAUUUUAUGUAUAAUAUAAAUCAAAAGUAUACGAGUGUAUCUACUUAUUUUUAUAUUGUUUUUUAUUUUAAAUUACUUUCAUGAUUGAUUUAUAAUAUUUUAAAUUUAAUUACUAUAACGUACAGCUACCUAAACAGUAUUAAUAAGUAUUUAUAUAUAUCUGGAAUAUAUUAUACUGGUAUUUACUAUCUAGGUACAUAUGUAACUAUAGUAGAUUAGUAGAUUAUGAUGAAUCUCAGUUUUAUGGUAAAUUUAGUAAGUGCAUAGGUAAUACGUUGCCUUUAAUUAAAUACAUAUAACUACAGUAUUAUCAUGAUUUUUAUGCACAGCAAUAAUCAUCAUGUACAUUGCACAUAUUAAUAAUAUAUUAUAAAUAAAACACGCUA